AUGCCAGAUCCUUUUAAAACCACUGUGCCAGGCCAGGGAUUAAGCCUGAAGUGUCUCAGCAGCUAUCUGAGCCAAUGCCGUCACAUUCUUAACCCACUGGGCCACAGCGGGAACUCCUUCCUUACAUUAUUAUUACUAAAAGUAAACUCUCUUCCCGGAGCACUUAGCAUGUGUGGGGCAGAAUGCUAAGCACAGCACAUGAAUUAUCUCACUUUGUCCUCCCAAGAAACCCAGAAGAUUGGCAUGAAUUCCGUUAACUUAAUACAGGUGGGUUAGUGGAAGAAUCAGAGUGAUUAUAUAAGGCAGCCAAGGUCCCUCAGCUGGUAAUGUGGGAAACCAGGAUUCAUACCCAAUCCUCUGCAAUCAUUCCACUCCCUCAUCGGGGAAAGGAACGGAGGGAAGGAGGGAAUUUAUGGAACCUUGCCUUGUCAGUCCUGGUGCUGGUUGCGUGCCUUGCUGAUCGUGUUCAAUCUUCACAGCCCCACAAGAUUCUUGUCUCUGGAUGUCCCUCACACUAUCACAGUGGUGAAACUCUCUCACAGACUUGUCUCAUCUUUCAGCAGUAGGUAUUCAGAUCUAGUUUCACUAGUGAAAUGGAAAUGGGGCCAUGGAACUCCUCACAACGUCUUGCUGGAAGUAGAAUCUGAUUGUAAUUAAUUGGAAAUCACACACAUUCUCAUACACGCUCGUACAAGAAUAAUGCUGCUGGGAUCCAUGAGGGAGAAAAACUGUGGCAUUUUCUUCCACUUAAAUGGAAAAACACCUGGUGAGCAGGACAAAAUUCCCAGACUCAGAAGAGCAGUACUAAGCAAGAGAGAAAAGAAUAAGAAGCAGGAAGAGGAGAAAUUAAAGGCCACAUAUAGGUAGCAUGCUAAAAGAGAAUCAUUCAUGUGUUUUUUUUUCUGCAACAAUAUUUUCCCUGGGAAAAAAAAUUAGCUGGUACUUCCACUUGGCAAAUUAUAUUACAGCAAUCAUGAUAUUAGAAAUAUUUUUCUCUGUGAUACUGAUGUUUGGGGUUAAAAAAAUUAAGCUGGAAUGCUUUAAAAAAUGUCUGACACGUGAAAUCAACGUGUAUCUUCAUUUUUCUUUGCAUUGUUUCAGUACAAAUAUUGACCACUAUUUCAGCUUCUUUAAGCAAACAUCUUUUUAUUGUACCUUGACAAUAUUUCCAAGCAACACGGUGAGUGUCAAUACCAGUAGGUUUACCCACACUGUGAGGUUUAGGAAACAUCUGGUCUCUAGGUCAAGCUUUUCAUGUCUAUUUCCUCUGUCUUGGUGCACUUAGGAUUUUUUGAACACAGGCACAUACCUUCGAAGGAUGCUGGACUUUCCUAUUCAAACGUCUCUGCUUCUUCCUCACAUAAUUUUCCCCUAAGGUCGAUUUUUUUUUUUUUCGUCUUUUGUCUUUUUUUUAGGGCCGUACCUGCAGCAUAUGGAGAUUCCCAGUCUAGAGGUCAAAUUGGCGCUGUUGCGGCCA